rnacentral:rRNA from 1 species
AUUGAACGCUGGCGGCAGGCCUAACACAUGCAAGUCGAGCGGUAGAGAGGUGCUUGCAUCUCUUGAGAGCGGCGGACGGGUGAGUAAUGCCUAGGAAUCUGCCUAGUGGUGGGGGAUAACGUUCGGAAACGGACGCUAAUACCGCAUACGUCCUACGGGAGAAAGCGGGGGAUCUUCGGACCUCGCGCCAUUAGAUGAGCCUAGGUCGGAUUAGCUAGUUGGUGAGGUAAUGGCUCACCAAGGCGACGAUCCGUAACUGGUCUGAGAGGAUGAUCAGUCACACUGGAACUGAGACACGGUCCAGACUCCUACGGGAGGCAGCAGUGGGGAAUAUUGGACAAUGGGCGAAAGCCUGAUCCAGCCAUGCCGCGUGUGUGAAGAAGGUCUUCGGGUUGUAAAGCACUUUCUAGCGAGGAGGAAGGGUUGUGUGUUAAUAGCACAUAGCCUUGACGUUACUCGCAGAAGAAG